UAACACGGAGGGAGCGAGCGUUGCCCGGAAUUACUGGGCGUAAAGGGGAUGUAGGCGGGCCUAUAAGUCGGAUGUGAAAUCUGUGGGCUCAACUCACAGACCGUGUCCGAUACUAUAGGUCUUGAGCACGGGAGAGGAGAGUGGAACUCCCAGUGUAGCGGUGGAAUGCGUAGAUAUUGGGAGGAACACCAGUGGCGAAGGCGGCUCUCUGGCCCGUUGCUGACGCUGAGGUCCGAAAGCUGGGGGAGCGAACAGGAUUAGAUACCCUGGUAGUCCCAGCCCUAAACGAUGGGCACUAGGUGUAGGUCCACGAGGAUCUGUGCCGAAGCUAACGCAUUAAGUGCCCCGCCUGGGGAGUACGGUCGCAAGGCUG
rnacentral:rRNA from 1 species